GCGCUCUGCUGACGAAAACGUGUAUUGCAGUCAAUAAGAGUAACUGUACACGUCAUCACAUCACUGCGCAUGUUCGCUCAGGACUGUUGUUCGACGACAAGACAUGCAAGUUUCUUCCCUGCAGUGUUUGGAAGUGUUUUGCCAUUUGGGAUAAAAAGAUGGGUCGUCGCAAUAAAAAGUCUCAGGCUGCGAAACGGCGCUAUGUUCCACUAGACUUGGAUGCAGAAGGACAGCGACUGCCAAAGGUCCAGAAGUCUUUUGCAGACGUUGUGAAACCUGUUGACAGACCACAGUCCACAGAUGAUGUUGAAAGCAGACAGCGGUUUUCAGAGGCCUCGCUGUCUGCUGAAGUUUUGCAGACCUCUGAAACGGUGGCGCUGCCAACUCAGCCUGCAUCUUUGUCCCUCUGUGACACCUCUAUCUCACCUGACAUAACUGAUUUUUCUAUCUUUCCUAUCCUUCACAACAACAAAGCAAGCAAAAGCACUUUGCAUUCUCGUUCAAACAAACACAGUGAUUCUGUCAACACGUCUGUGCUCUCAAACAAACUCAGUCAAGGUCAAAUGACUUCAAUUACUCAACCUCUAAACAAUCCUCAAACAACUAUGCAAACUGACAACUAUGUGAAAGCUCUACAUUCUUCCUUUAUUCAGUCUGUUGACCUUGCAGAUACCGAUAAUCGCGUCCUAACAGGAUCCUUUCAUCAAGGUGAUGCUCAGUUUGGCGAUGCAGCUGAAAGACAAUGUGGACCAACCAGCUUAGUUGCAGCUUUGAAAUGUAAAAUAAAGAAUGUGUUGACCUGGGAUUGUGCUGAUGUAAAUGAUGUUGUUGUACAUGGAACUUCACUGUAUAACUGUCUGAAAAUGCCAACAAAAUUAAAGAUAUAAAUCAACGUCGUUCCUAUCUGUCUGUGACUGAAUUGCCAAAUAAUCACCAUGUGUGGAAUACAGAGUUUUCAAUAAGAUAUGGUGAAUCUUUUACCGGUGCUAUUGACCUUGAGAAUGAUAAUGGUUUGUCUGACCUGAUCAUGCCACUUGAUGUAGCUUUGCAACGGACUCUACUGGACAAUGAUGCAGGUGUGGUAACCAUCCGUUCUAGUACAUUUGCUGUUGUAAAGCAGGGGUCUUGGUUUGCAUUUUUCGACUCCCAUGGAAGAAAGGUAA